rnacentral:rRNA from 1 species
CCUACGGGAGGCAGCAGUGAGGAAUAUUGGUCAAUGGACGAGAGUCUGAACCAGCCAAGUAGCGUGAAGGAUGACUGCCCUAUGGGUUGUAAACUUCUUUUAUAUGGGAAUAAAAUGUUCCACGUGUGGGAUUUUGUAUGUACCAUAUGAAUAAGGAUCGGCUAACUCCGUGCCAGCAGCCGCGGUAAUACGGAGGAUCCGAGCGUUAUCCGGAUUUAUUGGGUUUAAAGGGAGCGUAGGUGGAUUGUUAAGUCAGUUGUGAAAGUUUGCGGCUCAACCGUAAAAUUGCAGUUGACACUGGCAGUCUUGAGUACAGUAGAGGUGGGCGGAAUUCGUGGUGUAGCGGUGAAAUGCUUAGAUAUCACGAAGAACUCCGAUUGCGAAGGCAGUUCACUGGACUGCAACUGACACUGAGGCUCGAAAGUGUGGGUAUCAAACAGGAUUAGAUACCCCUGUAGUC